GACGAACGCUGGCGGUGGGCUUAACACAUGCAAGUCGAACGGAAAGGCCCUGCUUUUGUGGGGUGCUCGAGUGGCGAACGGGUGAGUAACACGUGAGUAACCUGCCCUUGACUUUGGGAUAACUUCAGGAAACUGGGGCUAAUACCGUAUAGGAGCUCCUGCUGCAUGGUGGGGGUUGGAAAGUUUCGGCGGUUGGGGAUGGACUCGCGGCUUAUCAGCUUGUUGGUGGGGUAGUGGCUUACCAAGGCUUUGACGGGUAGCCGGCCUGAGAGGGUGACCGGCGACACUGGGACUGAGAUACGGCCCAGACUGCUAAGGGAGGCAGAAGUGGGGAAUAUUGCACCAUGGGCGGAAGCCUGAUGAAGCAACGCCGCGUGCGGGAUGACGGCCUUCGGGUUGUAAACCGCUUGCGCCUGUGACGAAGCGUGAGUGACGGUAAUGGGUAAAGAAGCACCGGCUAACUACGUG
rnacentral:rRNA from 1 species